rnacentral:rRNA from 1 species
CCUACGGGGGGCAGCAGUGAGGAAUAUUGGUCAAUGGUCGGGAGACUGAACCAGCCAAGCCGCGUGAGGGAUGAAGGUACAGAGUAUCGUAAACCUCUUUUGUCAGGGAACAACGGCGGGGACGUGUCCCCGGAUGAGUGUACCUGAAGAAAAAGCAUCGGCUAACUCCGUGCCAGCAGCCGCGGUAAUACGAAGGAUGCGAGCGUUAUCCGGAUUUAUUGGGUGUAAAGGGUGCGCAGGCGGCGUGUUAAGUGGGCGGUCAAAGCCCGGGGCUCAACCCCGGCCCGCGGUUGAAACUGGCAGUCUCGAGUUGGAGAGAAGUAUGCGGAAUGCGCGGGGUAGCGGUGAAAUGCAU